rnacentral:rRNA from 1 species
CCUACGGGAGGCAGCAGUGAGGAAUAUUGGUCAAUGGGCGAGAGCCUGAACCAGCCAAGUCGCGUGAAGGAUGACGGCCCUACGGGUUGUAAACUUCUUUUGUCAGGGAGCAAUUGGGUCCACGCGUGGGCUUAGCGAGAGUACCUGAAGAAAAAGCAUCGGCUAACUCCGUGCCAGCAGCCGCGGUACUACGGAGGAUGCGAGCGUUAUCCGGAUUUAUUGGGUUUAAAGGGUGCGUAGGCGGAAUAUCAAGUCAGCGGUAAAAAUUCGGGGCUCAACCCCGUCGUGCCGUUGCAACUGAUGUUCUGGAGUGGGCGAGAAGUAUGCGGAAUGCGUGGUGUAGCGGUGAAAUGCAUAGAUAUCACGCAGAACUCCGAUUGCGAAGGCAGCAUACCGGCGCCCAACUGACGCUGAAGCACGAAAGCGUGGGUAUCGAACAGGAUUAGAUACCCCAGUAGUC